rnacentral:rRNA from 1 species
CCUACGGGAGGCAGCAGUGAGGAAUAUUGGUCAAUGGACGGAAGUCUGAACCAGCCAAGUAGCGUGCAGGAUGACGGCCCUAUGGGUUGUAAACUGCUUUUGUAUGGGGAUAAAGUUAGGGACGUGUCCCUAUUUGCAGGUACCAUACGAAUAAGGACCGGCUAAUUCCGUGCCAGCAGCCGCGGUAAUACGGAAGGUCCAGGCGUUAUCCGGAUUUAUUGGGUUUAAAGGGAGCGUAGGCUGGAGAUUAAGUGUGUUGUGAAAUGUAGACGCUCAACGUCUGACUUGCAGCGCAUACUGGUUUCCUUGAGUACGCACAACGUUGGCGGAAUUCGUCGUGUAGCGGUGAAAUGCUUAGAUAUGACGAAGAACUCCGAUUGCGAAGGCAGCUGACGGGAGCGCAACUGACGCUGAAGCUCGAAGGUGCGGGUAUCGAACAGGAUUAGAUACCCGGGUAGUC